UACGUAGGGUGCGAGCGUUAAUCGGAAUUACUGGGCGUAAAGCGUGCGCAGGCGGUUUUGUAAGCCAGAUGUGAAAUCCCCGGGCUUAACCUGGGAAUGGCACUUGGGACUGCAAGGCUUGAGUGCGGCAGAGGAGACUGGAAUUCCUGGUGUAGCAGUGAAAUGCGUAGAUAUCAGGAGGAACACCGAUGGCGAAGGCAGGUCUCUGGGCUGACACUGACGCUCAUGCACGAAAGCGUGGGGAGCAAACAGG
rnacentral:rRNA from 1 species